rnacentral:rRNA from 1 species
CACGGGGGGAGCAAGCGUUGUUCGGAAUCACUGGGCGUAAAGGGCGUGCAGGCGGUCAGGUAAGUGGGAUGUGAAAUGCCCCGGCUCACCCGGGGACCGGCAUCUCAUACUGCUUGGCUUGAGUACGGGAGAGGAUGUGGGAAUUCCUGGUGUAGCGGUGAAAUGCGCAGAUAUCAGGAGGAACACCGGUGGCGAAGGCGGAUCUCUGGGCCAUUACUGACGCUGAGGAGCGAAAGCGUGGGGAGCGAACAGG